rnacentral:rRNA from 1 species
GGCUCAGAACGAACGCUGGCGGCAGGCUUAACACAUGCAAGUCGAGCGCCCCGCAAGGGGAGCGGCAGACGGGUGAGUAACGCGUGGGAAUCUACCCUUUUCUACGGAAUAACGCAGGGAAACUUGUGCUAAUACCGUAUAAGCCCUUCGGGGGAAAGAUUUAUCGGGAAAGGAUGAGCCCGCGUUGGAUUAGCUAGUUGGUGGGGUAAAGGCCUACCAAGGCGACGAUCCAUAGCUGGUCUGAGAGGAUGAUCAGCCACAUUGGGACUGAGACACGGCCCAAACUCCUACGGGAGGCAGCAGUGGGGAAUAUUGGACAAUGGGCGCAAGCCUGAUCCAGCCAUGCCGCGUGAGUGAUGAAGGCCCUAGGGUUGUAAAGCUCU